rnacentral:rRNA from 1 species
GGAUUACCCGCUGAGUUUAAGCAUAUC